UACGUAGGGUGCAAGCGUUUGUCCGGAAUUAUUGGGCGUAAAGAGCUCGUAGGCGGUCUGUCGCGUCUGCUGUGAAAAUCAGGGCUCAACCCUGGACCUGCAGUGGGUACGGGCAGACUAGAGUGCGGUAGGGGAGAUCGGAAUUCCUGGUGUAGCGGUGAAAUGCGCAGAUAUCAGGAGGAACACCGGUGGCGAAGGCGGAUCUCUGGGCCGUAACUGACGCUGGAGGAGCGAAAGCAUGGGGAGCGAACAGG
rnacentral:rRNA from 1 species